rnacentral:rRNA from 1 species
AUGGAUGAGGCUUGCAACAAGGCUCUGUGCCGCGAGGCCGCCGCCUGCGUUUGCCAAGGAGAAGGACAAGAUCACCCCGACGCUGCUUCUUAUACCUCGCCCUCGGCCUCGGGAGCGUCCAGCGGGUUGUCGUCGUGCUCAUUGACACCGAAUCUGGGUGAUGGGUUGGGUUACCUCCCAUCCGAAGAUCAUUCUUCGGAGUCAUCUUCAGCGUCGUCGAGCACCUUGCAGCUGGACUCUGAGGCCGAGGGACCUCUCUACGAGCUGUCUUCGCUGCUAGCCCAGCUUCCCGCCAGGAGAGGGUUGUCCAAGUACUACCAAGGGAAGUCCCAAUCAUUCACAUCAAUAUCCUACGCUACAUGUCUUCAAGACCUUGGAAAGGAAGUUACGUACAGCAAGAGGAUGAAGACAUGCAAGAGCAAUACAGCAGGAUCAGUCAUGAACCAGCGGUCAAAUCACUUACCGAGGACAUGCAACAAGAUGAUAGCCAAGAGGCCCUCAAAAAGUUCAUUUGCUUGUCAAAUGUCCAGAGCAAGCAGCACCAACCUCUUGUACAGGAGUGCCAAUUUACCUGCACACCAGAACAAGGAAGAUGUACAAAUGCAUAUGAACUCUUAA